AACGAACGCUGGCGGCAGGCCUAACACAUGCAAGUCGAGCGAGGACUUCGGUUCUAGCGGCGGACGGGUGAGUAACGCGUGGGAAUGUGCCCUUCUCUACGGAAUAGCCCUGGGAAACUGGGAGUAAUACCGUAUACGCCCUAUUGGGGCAAGAUUUAUCGGAGAAGGAUCAGCCCGCGUUGGAUUAGGUAGUUGGUGGGGUAAUGGCCUACCAAGCCGACGAUCCAUAGCUGGUUUGAGAGGAUGAUCAGCCACACUGGGACUGAGACACGGCCCAGACUCCUACGGGAGGCAGCAGUGGGGAAUCUUAGACAAUGGGGGCAACCCUGAUCUAGCCAUGCCGCGUGAGUGAUGAAGGCCUUAGGGUUGUAAAGCUCUUUCAGCUGGGAAGAUAAUGACGGUACCAGCAGAAGAAGCCCCGGCUAACUCCGUG
rnacentral:rRNA from 1 species